rnacentral:rRNA from 1 species
AUUGAACGCUGGCGGCAGGCCUAACACAUGCAAGUCGAGCGGAGCGGCGGACGGGUGAGUAAUGCCUAUGAAUCUGCCUGGUGGGGGAGAACGUCGGGCACCGGGGGCUACUACCGCAUACCACUAGAUGAGCCUAGGUGGGAUUAGCUAGUUGGUGGGGUAAAGGCCUACCAAGGCGACGAUCCGUAACUGGUCUGAGAGGAUGAUCAGUCACACUGGAACUGAGACACGGUCCAGACUCCUACGGGAGGCAGCAGUGGGGAAUAUUGGACAAUGGGCGAAAGCCUGAUCCAGCCAUGCCGCGUGUGUGAAGAAGGUCUUCGGAUUGUAAAGCACUUUAAGUUGGGAGGCGUUACCAACAGAAUAAGCACCGGCUAACUUCGUGCCAGCAGCCGCGGUAAUAC